AGAAACAGAAGAACAUAGAGGUUUUGCAAUUUGAGCUGGGCCACGCAGGAGCUCUUUGGCAGAGGAAGGCAGCCUCCUGAGAGAGCUGUACAACAGCCACACCGGGAGAGAACCCUGCACAGGACACAACAGCUUCUAAAAUGUGAUCAGGGACUACCAGAAAACACCACAACAAAUACCCCAAAACACAGGAAGGAGCCUGCCAGCUGCAGGAAGACAGCGAGGAUCAACAGAGCAACAUCCCAGGUAACUGUUAAGCUAAUGGGGAGCAUAGGGCAUUCCUGACAUCCUGCAAAUCUUCAACAAGGACCAUGGAAGAAGAGUGCAGAAACAGACAGUGAGAAGACAUUACUUCCUAUGUUAACUGAGGACAAGAAUGAAGCCACUCUCACCAGUGGAGCAGGUGGAGGAGGUGACACAUCUACUGCUGGAGCUCAGCCCCCUGUGUUUGUUACAGCUGGCAGAGGUGAGACAUCCACCUCACCAUCCCACCCAGAGAAGGAGAAAGAAGGUGAUUCCUGAUCAUCCUCACCAGCCCUGCAGCUGCCCCAUGGCCUCAAAAAGCCUUUCCCUCUCCCCACCCUCAAAAUGCAACCACUGCCCCAUUCCUCCCUCUCCCUGAGAGGAGAACUGUCAGUUGUGGUCUCUGAGGGAGAGGCGCUGCCCCAGCCAGCCUGGAAUAAAGCUACAGAGUGGAGAAUCAAGGCCCAGAUCCAGGCAGAUACUUUGUGGUAACCUAAGAUCCCAUGAACAUCUGGGGAGAUUUUUCAAAGGGUAGGGACAGGGGCUGUUGCUCCAUCCUGACCCGCUGGGGAGCUGCAUUCACACACACAGGUGGGCCAAACCAGCCCAAACAGGGUGGAAAUAGCCACACCACUGCUCCCAGUGCUGGCUGUGCAGCAGAUGGGACACAGCAUAUGGAAUGCCACGUGCCAAGAGCCCCAAGCCUGGAGCAGGCAGCAGCUCCAUGGAGAGCUGAGGGACCACAAGACCAGGUGCUGACUCAGUCCACGGCAAGGAGGCAUCUCCCAGAGCGGGAUGAGAUGGGAGCAGUAGCCUCGUCAAAACAGUGAAGUAGCAGGAAUCUCCUUGGAGAGCAACGGAUCACAGCACUUGUCAAGAUGAUUUCCAAAUCAAAGAUGACUUCCAAGGAGCAGCAAGGUCACUGGUCCAUCUGCCCAAUGACAGCACUGACAUUGCUAAAUGUCAUGAAGUGAAGCUGCCAGAGUUGCUCCAUGUGCUGCUUCCAGGUGAGAUGGCAACAGGAACAGCCAUAAUUCUUACCAAAGCAAAACAAGGCAAAAGAAUAUUUGCUAAUGUUUUUGGAUAUAGUUGUUAGGUCCC